UACAGAGGGUGCGAGCGUUAAUCGGAAUUACUGGGCGUAAAGCGCACGUAGUCGGCUUUGCAAGUCGGUUGUGAAAUCCCCGGGCUUAACUCGGAAAGGUCAACUGAUACUGUGCGACUAGAGUGCGGAAGGGGCAACUGGAAUUCUCGGUGUAGCGGUGAAAUGCGUAGAUAUCGAGAGGAACACCUGCGGCGAAGGCAGCUGGCUACGCGAAUAUUGACACUGAUGCACGAAAGCGUGGGGAUCAAACAGG
rnacentral:rRNA from 1 species